UCCGAAGGGGGCGAGCGUUGUUCGGAUUUACUGGGCGUAAAGGGCGCGUAGGCGGCCUUUUAAGUUAGGUGUGAAAGCCCGGGGCUUAACCCCGGAAAUGCACUUAAUACUGGAAGGCUUGAGUAUGGCAGAGGUUAGUGGAAUUCCCAGUGGAGAGGUGAAAUUCGUAGAGAUUGGGAGGAACACCAGUAGCGAAGGCGGCUAACUGGGCCAUAACUGACGCUGAGGCGCGAAAGCGUGGGUAGCAAACAGG
rnacentral:rRNA from 1 species